rnacentral:rRNA from 1 species
UACGGGGGGGGCAAGCGUUGUUCGGAAUUACUGGGCGUAAAGGGCUCGUAGGUGGCCAACUAAGUCGGACGUGAAAUCCCUCGGCUUAACCGGGGAACUGCGUCUGAUACUGGAUGGCUUGAGUUUGGGAGAGGGAUGCGGAAUUCCAGGUGUAGCGGUGAAAUGCGUAGAUAUCUGGAGGAACACCGGUGGCGAAGGCGGCAUCCUGGACCAACACUGACACUGAGGAGCGAGAGCCAGGGGAGCAAACGGG